rnacentral:rRNA from 1 species
AGCGAACGCUGGCGGCAUGCUUAACACAUGCAAGUCGCACGAGGGGUUUCGGCCUCUAGUGGCGGACGGGUGAGUAACACGUAGGUAUCUAUCCACGGGUGGGGGAUAACGGCGGGAAACUGCUGCUAAUACCGCAUGACACCUGAGGGUCAAAGGCGCGAGUCGCCUGUGGAGGAGCCUUCGUCCGAUUAGCUAGUUGGUAGGGUAAUGGCCUACCAAGGCGACGAUCGGUAGCUGGUCUGAGAGGAUGAUCAGCCACAUUGGGACUGAGACACGGCCCAAACUCCUACGGGAGGCAGCAGUGGGGAAUAUUGGACAAUGGGCGCAAGCCUGAUCCAGCAAUGCCGCGUGGAUGAAGAAGGUCUUCGGAUUGUAAAGUCCUUUCGGCGGGGGACGAUGAUGACGGUACCCGCAGAAGAA